UUUGUACCCUUGACUACGUUAACUAAAAGGCAUGUAUUAAGAUUUAGACCUUUAUAAAAAUCAAAUUGCUAUUUCAAAACUAAACAAAGGGGAUUGAACUAUAUCAGUUUAUCAGCACAGCCAUGCACAAAAGCCACCCUGGUCCUCGUUGUAGGAUAAACCGUAUUUGGUUUUCCAUGCUUGUCAAAAGAAGAGGGACACCCGGCACGGCAAUUUUAGGUUUUGAAAAAAUUUAAGGAAAAUAUUUACCUUUAUGGGUUUCUGCACGUGGUAACAACUGAAAACUUUAUAUAACUGUAGAGGGUCUGCGUUUUAUGGUGCUUUAAAGGACUUUUGGUUUAUUUUCCGGUGAAAAACGCAAACACUAUGAACUCGGGGUGUAAACUUGACAAGAACGGUGAUAAAAGUGGCGACGUUGUCGCAUUUUCGCAAUACGUAAAACGUGCGUUUUCAAUAUUUCCCCGAGAACUACAUACAGCAGAAGAAAAUGGUGUAAUAUAUAUAUAUUUUAUUAAACUUUAAGGGUUCGAAUAAAUAUAAUUAUUCACGUG